rnacentral:rRNA from 1 species
GGACUUACUCUUCGGAGUGAGAGCGUACACAGGUGCUGCAUGGCUGUCGUCAGCUCGUGUCGUGAGAUGUGGGUUAAGUCCCGCAACGAGCGCAACCCUGCAUUCAGUUGCCAUCGGUAAGGCCGGGCACUCUGGAUGGACUGCCGGCGACAAGCCGGAGGAAGGUGGGGACGACGUCAAGUCAUCAUGGCCCUUAUGUCCAGGGCGACACACGUGCUACAAUGGCCGGCACAACGGGAAGCGAAGGGGCGACCCUGAGCGGAUCCCACAAAAGCCGGUCCCAGUUCGGAUUGCAGUCUGCAACUCGACUGCAUGAAGUUGGAAUCGCUAGUAAUCGUGGAUCAGCCAAGCCGCGGUGAAUACGUUCCCGGGCCUU